rnacentral:rRNA from 1 species
AGAGUUUGAUCUUGGCUCAGAUUGAACGCUGGCGGCAUGCCUAACACAUGCAAGUCGAACGGAGAUAGGGGCAACCUUAUUUCAGUGGCGGACGGGUGAGGAAUGCGUCGGAAUCUGCCCUAUGGUGGGGGAUAACACAGGGAAACUUGUGCUAAUACCGCAUAAUGUCGAGAGACCAAAGCAGGGGACCGCAAGGCCUUGCGCGAUAGGAUGAGCCGACGCCCGAUUAGCUUGUUGGUAGGGUAAUGGCCUACCAAGGCGACGAUCGGUAGCUGGUCUGAGAGGAUGAUCAGCCACACUGGGACUGAGACACGGCCCAGACUCCUACGGGAGGCAGCAGUGGGGAAUAUUGGACAAUGGGCGCAAGCCUGAUCCAGCAAUGCCGCGUGUGUGAAGAAGGCCUGCGGGUUGUAAAGCACUUUUGUUCGGGAAGAAAUCAUGUCGGUUAAUACCCGAUGUGGAUGACGGUACCGAAAGAAUAAGCACCGGCUAACUUCGUGCCAGCAGCCGCGGUAAUACGAAGGGUGCAAGCGUUAAUCGGAAUUACUGGGCGUAAAGCGUGCGUAGGCGGCUUUUUAAGUCGGAUGUGAAAGCCCCGGGCUCAACUGGGAAUGGCAUCGAUACUGGAAGCUAGAUUUGGGAGAGU